AGUGAACGCUGGCGGUAGGCCUAACACAUGCAAGUCGAACGGCAGCACAGUAAGAGCUUGCUCUUACGGGUGGCGAGUGGCGGACGGGUGAGGAAUACAUCGGAAUCUACUUUUUCGUGGGGGAUAACGUAGGGAAACUUACGCUAAUACCGCAUACGACCUACGGGUGAAAGCAGGGGAUCUUCGGACCUUGCGCGAUUGAAUGAGCCGAUGUCGGAUUAGCUAGUUGGCGGGGUAAAGGCCCACCAAGGCGACGAUCCGUAGCUGGUCUGAGAGGAUAAUCAGCCACACUGGAACUGAGACACGGUCCAGACUCCUACGGGAGGCAGCAGUGGGGAAUAUUGGACAAUGGGCGCAAGCCUGAUCCAGCCAUACUGCGUGGGUGAAGAAGGCAUUCGGGUUGUAAAGCCCUUUUGUUGGGAAAGAAAAGCAGCAGGUUAAUACCCCGCUGUUCUGACGGUACCCAAAGAAUAAGCACCGGCUAACUUCGUG
rnacentral:rRNA from 1 species